rnacentral:lncRNA from 1 species
UACUAUACUAAUAACCACUAUACAAAAUAUUGCCUAAAAAAAACCCGCCAGGUCCGCCUAGUUCGCCAGGCCCGGCCUGCCAGGACCACUGUGGGCUUAGGCCCGUCAUGGGCUGGUCUGCCAGGACCGACAUGCCCGAAAUCGCCAGGCCCGCUAAGAUCGGCCCACCAGGUCCGGCAAAGAUACACCCCUAAUUUCAAGUAGUGGUGAAAAAGAGUUUGUGAAUGAAAGGAAUUGGGGGAUCCAGCUUCUUUUGCAGUCUUGAUUUAUUUUUAAUUGUCA